rnacentral:rRNA from 1 species
UACGAAGGGGGGCGAGCGUUUGUUCGGAUUUACUGGGCGUAAAGGGCGCGCAGGUGGCUUUUCAAGUCAGGCGUGAAAGCCCCCGGGCUUAACCUGGGAACUGCGUCUGGGACUGAAGGGCUAGAGUUCGGGAGAGGAGAGUGGAAUUCCCAGUGUAGAGGUGAAAUGCGUAGAUAUCGGGAGGAACAUCAGUGGCGGAAGGCGGCUGUCUGGCCCAAUACUGACACUCAGGUGCGACAGCGUGGGGAGCAAACAGG